GUGGGGAAUCUUGCGCAAUGGGCGAAAGCCUGACGCAGCAACGCCGCGUGGGGGAUGACGGCCUUCGGGUUGUAAACCUCUUUCGACAUCGACGAAGCCUUCGGGUGACGGUAGGUGUAGAAGAAGCACCGGCUAACUACGUGCCAGCAGCCGCGGUAAUACGUAGGGUGCGAGCGUUGUCCGGAUUUAUUGGGCGUAAAGAGCUCGUAGGCGGUUUGUCGCGUCGGCCGUGAAAACCUGCAGCUUAACUGUGGGCUUGCGGUCGAUACGGGCAGACUUGAGUUCGGUAGGGGAGACUGGAAUUCCUGGUGUAGCGGUGAAAUGCGCAGAUAUCAGGAGGAACACCGGUGGCGAAGGCGGGUCUCUGGGCCGAUACUGACGCUGAGGAGCGAAAGCGUGGGGAGCGAACAGGAUUAGAAACCCUAGUAGUCC
rnacentral:rRNA from 1 species